GGGGCGUUAGCUCAGUUGGUAGAGCAGCGGACUCUUAAUCCGUAGGUCGAGUGUUCGAAUCACUCACGCCCUACCA
rnacentral:tRNA from 2 species